AAAAAUGUUAAUAGUUUUGUUUUUUGUUUUUUAUUUUUUCAGUACUGGAGAUUUAACCUAAGGCCUCAUACAUGCGAGGCAAGCAUUAACCUGUUACUGAUUGUCUUAUGUUGAUUUUGUAUCCUGCAACUUUACUGAGUUUUAAAUUAGUUCCAGUGGUCAUUUAGUGGAGUGUUUAGGUUUUUGUAGAUAUAAAAUGAUGUCAUUAUACAAAUGGAAAGUUUGGCUUCUUGCCUUCCUAAUUGUAUGCUUUUGAUUUCUUUUUCUGGCCUCAUUGCUCCAGCUAAGACUUCAGUACAGUACUGUGUUGGGUAAGAGUGGUAAGAAUGGGCAUCCUUGUCUUGUUUCAGAUGUUAGAGGAAAGCACCUUUUCCCAUUUAUUAUGAUGUUGUCUGUGAGGCUUAUACACAUCCUUUAUCAUAUUGAAGUAUGUUCCUUUUGUACCUAACUUCAGUUUUUAUCAUGAAGGAUACUGAAUAAUUUUAUUGAAUAACUUUCUGUAUCUAUUGAGAUAAUACCAUGACUUUUGACUUUCAUUUUGUUGAUGUGGUAUAUUACAUUUAUUGAUUUGUGCUUGUUUAAUCAUUCUCACCUCUCUGAUAAGUCCAACUCGAUAAUGUGAAUGUUCUUUUUGACAUAGAGUUGGAAGGAAUGUGCUAAUAGUUUGAUGAGAAAUUUUGCAUCUAUAUUCUUUACAGAAAUGUGUGUAUAAUUUUUUGUUGUGUUGUCAGGUCUUUUUAAAUGUGCCUGUUACACAUCCUUUUGCUUUGUAUUUUGAGGAACUUUGCAUUUGCAUCUGUGGUCUUCAUUCUUUUGAAAUUUUAAUUCACUCAAUUCUAAAAUACUUGUCAAAUCUGCCAUCCACAUUGAUGGUAUCUUGAGUAGUGGCAUCUCUGUGCAGAGAUCGUGGGCUCUGAUCAAAGAGAUGGCUUGUUAAUUCCAGCUCUCAUUACUAGUGGUGACUGUAGUCUUCUGCAGUUGCAGUUCUGUUCAAAAAGUCUAUGUGGGUGUGUGUGUGGUGGCACACGCCUCUAAGUCCAGCAAUCUUGGAGGCAGUGGCAGGAGGAGCACAACUUUAAGCCCAGCCUGGCCAAUUUAAUGACUUAAUGAGACCCUAUCUCAAAAAAUAAAAGGUUUGGGGAUAUAGCUCCGUGUGAAGGCCCUAGGUUCAAUCCCCAUUAUCACCAAAAAACCCCCAAAACAAAACAAAAAACUUUACCUAUUCCUGUAUCUUCAAUACUGACAUUCCUUGUUCAACAACUGAAUUACAUUCCUGUGAUAGGUCGCUAAAUGAGUUGGUUGCUAAAUGAGGAAUUACAUAUAGUACCGUAUUUACAAUAUUCAGAACAAAAAUGAUCAAGGGGAACUCUAACUUAAUGCCUUAGUUGCGUAACUCUUACGUGCACUGCAGCACAAGCAGAAAUUACAGCACUGUACUGUAGAAGAAGCCACCAUAAGGCCUCACUGUUGCUCACAUUCCUGCGUCCUAAGCCUGAGCGGAGGAUCCUGAGUUCAAACAGUGCUCUUGGGUGGUAAGUCCAGUCAUUAACCAGGCUGACCUCCCUUCCCGUAGUGUCUGAAGAGAGGUCCCCUCUUUGCCUCUCCACUGACUCUCAGACACACUCAGGGCUCCAGAGGAGACCGCGCCAACUCUGGUCAGCACACCCUUUCCCACCACGACCCUCCUGGAUGGAAAGAGAGACAACUGCCAAAGAAGCACUGCCUCACCACGUUGAUCCAUUUUAAAGUAUAAGUUAGUGCAGCAAGCAUGUCUCCCAUGUAGGAAGUAUGGCAGGCAGAAUCCUCAACAUCUUCCUCCAGGAUUCCCUCCCUGUGCUUACUCAAUCAAGCACUCAUCUGUGUUCAGCUGGGAAGGGACUUUACAGAUGUGAUGUCGACCUGAAGACAGAGGUUAUCCUAGGCUACUGGGCUCAGUCUAAUUGCAUGAGUCUGUAAAAGCAGAGGAUGUUCCCUGGCUGGUGCAGAAGAGGAAGAGAGAAGAGGAAGUCAGAGAUUCCAAGUAUGAGAAAGAUGUGACCUGCCCUUGCAGGCCAGGGGUAGGAGCCCCAUGUUCAAGGACUGGAGAGAGGCUGCCAGGAGCUGACCAUGGCCCUGGAUGCAGCCAGCAAAGACAUGGGCAUCUUCCUCAGGUCAUGGAAAGGAAUCCUGCCACCAAUCUGAGCAGAAGUUCAGAGAUUGCAGAGAAGAAGCCAGGCUGGUUGACACUGAUUCCAGUCUCAAAUGAGCUGGAGCAGAGGAACUCAUGGAGUCUGCCAUACUUUUGACUUACAGAGAACUGAGAGCAUAACUUUGUGUUGUCCUAAGAUGGUAAAGUUGUGGAAUUUCUGUUAAUGGUGGCAAAUAUAGAACAGCUGCGAUUCCAGGAAAAUGAUAAUGAACACACCCACUCUAAGCAGAGCAGAAUCUGCGCGCACGUGCGCGCGCGCGUGUGUGUGUGUGUGUGUGUGUGUGUGUGUGUGUAAGUACCCACUAUAAAUGCCAGCUGAGAUCCCUACCCCAAAUUCCCAGAACUGUCACCCUCCCUACACAUCAGCAGAUCUGGGAAAUGGGAUUCCCUUUGUAGUCACUACUUCAAUAUCAUUUCAUCUUUUGAGUGCAUCCAAGGACAAUGAGAAGAUAUUUGUUCAACAGAUAAUAUGAUGCCAUCUGCACAUGUAAUUUAAAAUGUUCUAGUAGUCAGUGAAAUGUCCAAAGAGCCAGGUGAAAUGAAUAUCCUCUUACUAUCAUUUCAACAAGUAGCUGAUGUAAGGACUGCUGAUGAGAGUUUAUAUUCUUUUUUCCAUGCUGAGUCUUGGCAGUCCAGCGGUUGAGUUUACAUGCCUUUGCAGUCAUUUUAGGCUGAAGAUGGGCCGUGCCAGGCACUCAGCAGACCAUGGGCCACCUUGUUGGACAGGGCUGGUUGAGAACGUUGCAGGGCUGGCAGCUGUGUUUGUGAGUGAGUGGGGUGGUUUUCCUUAACUCUGCUGUAGAUUUGCAGGCAGGUAUUUGAACUGGAAAAUAAUUUUAUACCUUUUAGGUGCAAAUUGAGAAUCUGGCUUCUGAAAUCUGAGCUUCAGACAAACAAAUUCGGUUUUAUUGUUUAACAGCCUCACAUCUUCUUGCCCCAGUAUUGCUAAGGAUUUCAAAGCUGAUCUUAAAGAUCGCAGCCUUCAGCAUCAGGCAUUUUGAUGUCAUUCUGGUUCAUUCUGUCAUCUAAAAUUAUCACAUGGUAUGAAUUGAUACUAAAGAAAUGACUUUGAGAGCAAGUUUUAAAAAUACUGUAUCUAUAAUUUACAAGUACUUUGUAUAUAUUGAAGGAGCAAUAAAAAUAGCUAAAAAUAAAAGUGGUUAAAGUAAUGCUAUUAUCGAUACAGAUUUUCAUUGAAAAAUGUUAAAAACGAACUAUGCAUUGAAAAUUUCAAUAUCAACAAUUUUAGGGACAUGACUUCAUGUCCUAUUUAAUAUUUGGGGAAGAUGACUAUAGCAAAUGAUCAUGUACUGUUUCACAUGAAGUUCCUCCUUUAGAUUAAAAAUUAUUCUAUCAGCAUUGAUUAAAUGUCCAAAUAUUCCUAUGUAAUAUAUAAGUAUGUGGAUCUCAUUUAAACUAGUAGCAAAACAAAACUCACCUGUGUAUGUAUGCAUGCAUGUUGUGUUAGUUGCUUUUCUCUCUUUGCUGAGACAAAAUACCCAACAGCUAAAGUUAAAGGAGAAAAGGCUUAUUUGGCUUACACUUUGUAGAGGUUUCAGUCCAUAAUGUGCUGGCUCCAAGGCAGGGUGGCAGAGGGGCAACAGUCCAUGGCUGCAGAAGACAGCAAAAGCAACAAGGGGCUCUAGCAGUGUCUUUCUGCCCCUUUUUUCCCAUCCAGACUCCUGGGAUUAGGGCAGUGCCAAGCCAAUCACUCACAUGUGGUGGUUUAGUCAUCACAUGCCCUUAACCCCAGCACCACACAUUCCAGAUUCAGUCUUCUCUAAAAAGACUCCAUGAGGCCUUGGGGAACAUCUAGGCACAAGCCAUAUCACAUGUGUGCGUUUAAACAUAUCUGUUAAAGUGUAGGUGGAAAUGUGAGUAAAAGAGAAAUAGGACAUGAGUCAGAAAUGGGAUAUAACCUCCAAAUCAGGAGAGGAAGAGAUUUUUAAGUCAAUGCACUGAAAGGAAAAAAAGAUUUUUAUAAAUUGAAGGAAAAUGAAUAAAAGCUUAAUAAAGAAAAUUUAAAAUAAGGGCAAGAAAAAGAUCAAACAUUCCAAGGUUCACAAUAAAUACAGAUUUAUUCAAUUAAGUCUUACAAGUUAUGUAAAAAGGCAAAGUUCAAUCAUAUUAGCUUUGUAAAUAACAUACAUGCCAUUAUAAAUAAAUAUUUAUAAAUAAAUGAAAUAUAUUCCUUUAUAAAUAAAGGAAUAAGAAAAUAGGAAAGUGGUAACAAAACAGGAAAAAAAGUGAUUCAAAAUAAAGACCAUCAAGUUAAAUACAGAAUACUUCAUGCUGGUUAAGGAUUACGACCUUUUAUGCCAGUCACAAAUCAUUACACAUUAAGCUAAAAGCAUGGAAAUGCACAGCUAAAUUAACAGUUAAACAUUACUAACAAAUAACAACAUCAAAAAUAUCUCAUGCUGGUACAGGCUGGGAAAGUGGAGCGCUGGCCUGCUUGUCACGGGGAGGGUGUGGAGAAGUCCAGGCUUUUGGAAGGCAGCUUGGAAAUAUCUGCCAAAACGACCUCCAUUUCUACGGUCUACAUCACAUAAAUGAGUUCACUGAAACACUUUAAUAUUAUUAUGUUUAAUAACGGCAAAGACAACUUAAAUGUCCCUCAGUGGAGAACAGUCAAAUCCAAAUCCAUCCCGGAGGGGGCGGUGGUUUGAAAAAUCAAGUGAGUAGCUGUGUGCACUACUAGGGAAACAGCUCCGGUCUCUUUUCUCUGGUGAAAAUAACCGAAUUGCACAGUAAUUCACAUGUGUAACCAAAUUUGUGAUUUUCCUUACAUAUAUGUUUUAUAAAUGUGAAAAAUCUCAAAAAGGAUAUACAAGGAUACUUAAAGAGUGUUGACUUCUCUAGGGGCCGAAGUUGGGAAUGGGGGCAAUUUCUAUAUUUGAAUUUAUGUAUACAGUAUGGCUGUUUUUAUUGUUUACAGCAAUAAUAUACUCUUGUAAUUAAAAAAACAAAAUAACAUUUUAAAAGCAGUUAACAAAGCUUACUUGAAUAAUUAAACUAUUUUGUUAAUUGGAGCUGUUACAUUGUUAGCAAAUAAUGGAGAUGCAAGAGGUAAGAAUUGAAAUCACAUAUUAUAAAUUCUUCUUAGGGAACAUGAUGCACAGCAUAUAGAAGAUGAGCCUGAAAUGACCAAACAAG
ensembl:lncRNA